rnacentral:lncRNA from 1 species
GACCAGUUCAGACCAGUACCCAUUCAGAGCAGUCCAGACAAGUUCAGGUUCCUGGGAUAACAAAUGGAAAGAGCCCAAUCCCCAAAAUCCAGGAUAAAACUGGGAUUUAUUGGGUCAAACUGGGAGCCGUUCCCAGUUCAGACCAGUUCAGACCAGUCCAAACCAGUUCAAACCAGUACAAACCAGUCCAGACCAGUUCAGACCAGUUCAAACCGGAGCCAGAGAAAAUGCAGGAUAAUAAACGGAUCCCAAAAAUCCCCAAAAUCCCGGAGCAAUUCCCUUCUUUUCUCUUGGGAUUGGAGUAAAAUGGGAACUGAUCCCAGUUCAGACCAGUCCAAACCAGUUCAGACCAGUUCAGACCAGUCCAAACCAGUCCAGACCAGUCCAGACCAGUUCAAACCGGUUCAGACCAGUUC